UACGAAGGAUUCGAGCGUUAUCCGGAUUUAUUGGGUUUAAAGGGUGCGUAGGCGGACUGAUAAGUCAGUGGUGAAAUCCUGUUGCUCAACAACAGAACUGCCAUUGAUACUGCCAGUCUUGAGUACAGUUGAGGUAGGCGGAAUGUGUCAUGUAGUGGUGAAAUACUUAGAUAUGACACAGAACACCGAUUGCGAAGGCAGCUCGCUACACAUAUAUUGACUCUGAGGCACGAAAGCGUGGGGAUCAAACAGG
rnacentral:rRNA from 1 species